UUAUCCGAGUGGUUUCUGCUAAAGAAACCUUUUGUCAGUCCUAGAAACACUAACGAAUAAGGGGUGGGCAAGUUCUGGUGUCAGCCGCCGCGGUAAAACCAGCACCUCAAGUGGUCAGGAUGAUUAUUGGGCCUAAAGCAUCCGUAGCUCGUUUUGUAAGUUUUCGGUUAAAUCCAUGCGCUUAACGUAUGGGCUGCCGGGAAUACUGCAUAACUAGGAAGUGGGAGAGGUAGACGGUACUCGGUAGGAAGGGGUAAAAUCCUUUGAUCUAUUGAUGACCACCUGUGGCGAAGGCGGUCUACCAGAACACGUUCGACGGUGAGGGAUGAAAGCUGGGGGAGCAAACCGGAUUAGAUACCCGGGUAGUCCCAGCUGUAAACUAUGCAAACUCAGUGAUGCAUUGGCUUGUGGCCAAUGCAGUGCUGCAGGGAAGCCGUUAAGUUUGCCGCCUGGGAAGUACGUACGCAAGCAUGAAACUUAAAGGAAUUGGUGGGGGAGCACCACAAGGGGUGAAGCCUGCGGUUCAAUUGGAGUCAACGCCAGAAAUCUUACCCGGAGAGACAGCAGAAUGAAGGUCAAGCUGAAGACUUUACCAGACAAGCUGAGAGGUGGUGCAUGGCCGUCGCCAGCUCGUGCCGUGAGAUGUCCUGUUAAGACAGGUAACGAGCGAGAUCCCUGCCUCUAGUUGCCACCAUUACUCUCAGGAGUAGUGGGGCGAAUUAGCGGGACCGCCGCAGUUAAUGCGGAGGAAGGAGGGGGCCACGGCAGGUCAGUAUGCCCCGAAACUCUGGGGCCACACGCGGGCUGCAAUG
rnacentral:rRNA from 1 species